UAAUUGAAGAGUUUGAUCAUGGCUCAGAUUGAACGCUGGCGGCAGGCCUAACACAUGCAAGUCGAGCGGCAGCGGGGGGA
rnacentral:rRNA from 1 species